GAGUGCAUACCUUGAAUGUUGGUUUAGAGAGAUGAUUUAACAGUUACAGAGUGAAAAAUCGAGUGGAUUAGGGCGAAGAACGGACGAAUUCCGUCAAGAAUCGAGAGAGAAAAGGGUUGUUUUUGUUUUCUGUUUCGGUUGCGAAUGAGGAAGAGGAAUGGGCCGAUAUCGAGUGAAAUAAGUGUUUUAACCAUCGAUAUGCCCGCAUCGAUCGAUGGCAGUGAUGCCUCAUCGAUCGAUGUCCUCUUUAAAGACAAAUCCUAAUUUCUAAAUCUUCUAAAUAAUGCUAAUAAUAAGAAGAAAUACGGAAAUUACUAACUACUAAAUAUAAUUUAUUUAAUUUUUUUUUUUUUAUGUUUUUGUUUGAAAUAAAAUGGGUUGCCUCCCAUUCAGCGCUUAAUUUUUAAGUCUUUAGCUCCACUUCCUGAUUAAACUAAUUAGCAGGUUCAUACAGCACUAUGGGCGCUUUUGCUGGUGGUUUUGCCCAAUAAUGCUUAACUCGUUGGCCGUUCACUGUAAAUUCCUGGCCUUUAUCAUUUUGUAAGGUGAUAGCUCCGGAGGGUUGAACGUUUGUUACGGUGAAGGGUCCAGACCAACG
rnacentral:lncRNA from 1 species